AACGUAGGUGGCAAGCGUUAUCCGGAUUUACUGGGCGUAAAGCGUGUGCAGGCGGUCAUGUAAGUGGUGUAUGAAAUCUCCGCGCUUAACGUGGAGGGGUUAUGCCAGACUGCACGACUAGAACCCAUCAGAGGGAAGUGGAAUUCCGGGUGUAGUGGUGAAAUGCGUAGAUAUCAUUUGGAACGCCAAUGGUGAAAACAGCUUGCUGGGGGUUUGCUGACGCUGAGACACGAAAGCCAGGGGAGCGAACGGG
rnacentral:rRNA from 1 species